CAAAAGCUUGGUCCUGACUUUGCCGUCAGCCUUUGCUAAACUUACACAUGCAAGUCUCCGCACCCCUGUGAGGAUGCCCUAUGCGUCCAUUUCGGACAUUAGGAGCUGGCAUCAGGCACGCGUUUACCGCCCGCCCAAGACGCCUUGCUUAGCCACACCCCCAAGGGAAUUCAGCAGUGAUAGACAUUAAGCCCUAGGCGGGAGCCUGACUUAAUGAAAGCAAAUAGAGCCGGCCAAACUCGUGCCAGCCGCCGCGGUUAUACGAGGGGCUCAAGUUGACGGAUUUCGGCGUAAAGGGUGGUUAGGAGUAUACUCGGCUAGAGGCAAACGCCUUCCAGGCUGUUAUACGCACUCGAAGCCGGGAAUUACUUAUGCGAAAGCCCCUCUAACAGACCUGAACCCACGACAGCCUGGUCACAAACCAGGAUUAGAUACCCUGCUAUGCCAGGCCGUAAACUUAGACUGUCCUCUACCGCGUCAGUCCGCCAGGGUACUACGAGCAGAAGCUUGAAACCCAAAGGACUUGGCGGUGCCUCAGACCCCCCUAGAGGAGCCUGUUCUAGAACCGAUAAUCCCCGUUAAACCUCACCAUCCCUGGUUAACUCCGCCUAUAUACCGCCGUCGUCAGCUUACCCUUUGAAGGCCUAAUAGUAAGCAAGAAAGUCAACGACAAGCACGUCAGGUCGAGGUGUAGCGUACGGGCUGGGAAGAAAUGGGCUACAUUCCUUCCCCCAGGGAACUCCACGCAGGGGGCAUUGAAACCUGCCCCCUAAGGCGGAUUUAGCAGUAAGCCAGGAGCAGAGCGCCUGGCUGAAACCGGCUCUGAGGCGCGCACACACCGCCCGUCACUCUCCCCGACCUUUGAAUUUUCUUCCAUAAAAAGUAACACCGAAAAGGGGAGGCAAGUCGUAACAAGGUAAGUAUACCGGAAGGUGUACUUGGGUAAC
rnacentral:ncRNA from 1 species